ensembl:lncRNA novel transcript
CCGGGGGCGAGGGGGCGGCAGGCAGGUGUAGCGCUGCCCUGGGCGGGCUUGCACCCCCACACCCAAGUGAGCGGCCUGCUCACUCCUCAGCUGCAGGAGCCAGACAUGUGGAGUCCCAGCAGAGGCCAACCUGUGUCUCUUCAUCUCCGUGAGAAAGGUGCCCCCGAAGUGAAAGAGAUGGCCUGGUGGAAAGCCUGGGACUCAGGAAUUCUCCCACUCCGGAAUGCCUUGCUGCUGGGGUGACCAGGUCUUCACUUGUGAAACAGGAGUCGGCCACCUCAGCCCUGCGCCUGGCCUGGUGGAACAUGGGUCACCGCCCCAACCUGGGGCAGCCGCCCCAUCCCAACGCAGUUGCUGCCGCUCUCCAUGCCUCCCUGUGCCCAGCUAACCGGGGGACUUGUCCCCUGGGAAAACCUGGGUACCCAGGCUGCCUUUGGUUUCAGCCCCUACUCCUCUUCCCGGGCUGCCUGUGCUCCCCGGACGGCCCCUUUCCCCGGGCUGUGUUCACAUCAGCUGGGAAGGGUCCCUUGCAGACAGAUCUUGGACGAGGUCGCGUCCCCCCUCGUGACCAGCAAACUCCUAAAAGCGGCCCUUGCCCCAGAGCCCCUGUAGCCUCCAACCGGCAGUCAGGAGGCAGCGCCGUCUCAGCGCCGCUUAGUGGCGCCAGGCGUGCCUGGAAAUCCGCUUUCGCAGCGCCCCCUCGUAGCCGCCUCCGCCCGCAGAAAGGCGUUCCCUGGACAGAGAAGCGGGCGCGCGGGGGCGGGCGCGCGGGGCCUUGCCGGAGAACCUGACUCUCCGCAGCAGCAGUGGAAGCCGGAGUGACGCGUUGUGUUGAACACCAGUUUUCUGGAGCGCUGUGUGUUCUCAACAGCUGAGCAGUCUGUUUCUCCAAUCAGGUUUCAAAGCCACUUCAACUGCACUGGCCCCUGUGGGUCACUGCUGCACCGCCCUGGCCCAUGUGGGUCCCUGAGGAGCGACCUGCCGGGGCCACCUGGCUGGACGAAAAAGACACACCUUGGACUUAAGCCGUGAGAAAAAAACUUCAUCAGUAAGAAACAAGUCAAUAGACAAGUAAAAGACUAGGAGAAAAUAUGCAUAAAACAUAAAAAAGUGACUUGAUUCCUGAUUCUGGAGUAUUUAAGAAUUCCUAUAACUCAACAAAAAGUUCAGUUUUUUAAAAUGAGCAAAAGGCUUGGGUAAACUAUUCACAAAGGAACGUAGACAAAUGCCAGUACACACAUGAGAAGCGCAUACACAUCCACAAACUUCAAACAAGCCCACCUCAUGUAUUUCUAGUGAGUAAGGAAAAGAACGCAAACACUUUUGAAAAUUGUUUGGUUGUUUCUUGUAAAUUUAAACAAAUACCCUAUUAUAUUAUCCAGCGAGUCCAUCCUUAGGUUUUUAUCCAAGGAUAAAGAGGUGAAAACUCAUAUCUAACAAAUAGACUUCUGAAAAGAUGAAAAUAGAAGCUUUAUUCAUAAAAGACAAAAACUGGAAAUAACCCAAAUAUUCAUUCACAGGAGAAUGAAUAAACAGACUAGGUUGAAUCCAUACAAUGGAAUGGUAGCAGACAAUAAAAAGAAAAUGAACUAUUGAUGCCCCCUACUGCACAGCAGAAGCUCUGAAUCGUGUUCCUGAAUGAAAGAAGUCAGGUAUGAAAGAAUAAACAUUGUAUGAUUCCAUUUAUAUGAAAAUGAAUCUGUGAUUUAAAAAUCAGACUAGUAUUAGGUUGGUGCGAAAGUAAUUGCGUUUUUUGCCUUUUUUUUUUUUUAAUAGUUGCUUUGGGGUUUAUGGAUGGAGUGGCAUGGUAGAGGUUAGCUGAAGGGGGCAUGAAAUAACUUUUUGGGGGUGCUAGAGUGUUGUAAAUCUUACAGUGGGGGAGGGACAGGAGUGCAGGCAUUUGACAAAACACAUUGAAUUGUGAAAUUUAAGAUUUUUGAAUUUCUUUGUAUGUAAAUUACCUGCCAAUAAAAACAUGACGAAUAGAGCAGUU